rnacentral:rRNA from 1 species
UACGUAGGGACCAAGCGUUGUUCGGAUUUACUGGGCGUAAAGGGCGCGUAGGCGGACUGGUAAGUCCGGGGUGAAAUCUUUCGGCUCAACCGGAAAAGUGCCUUGGAAACUGCCAGUCUCGAGGGGGGUAGGGGCCUGUGGAACUUCGGGUGGAGCGGUGAAAUGCGUUGAUAUCCGAAGGAACGCCGGUGGCGAAAGCGACGGGCUGGACCCCUUCUGACGCUGAGGCGCGAAAGCCAGGGGAGCAAACGGG